AGCGAACGCUGGCGGUAGGCCUAACACAUGCAAGUCGAACGGCAGCGCAGUACGAGCUUGCUCUUACGGGUGGCGAGUGGCGGAAGGGUGAGGAAUACAUCGGAAUCUACUUUUUCGUGGGGGAUAACGUAGGGAAACUUACGCUCAUACCGCAUACGACCUACGGGUGAAGGCGGGGGAUCUUCGGACCUUGCGCGAUUGAAUGCGCCGAUGUCGUAUUAGCUUGUUGGCGGGGUAAAGGCCAACGAAGGCGCCGAUCCGUAGCUGGACGGAGAGGAGGAUAACCGACACGGGAACGGAGACACGGACCAGAGGCCUGCGGGAGGCAGCAGUGUGGUAUAGUGGACAGUGGUCGCGAGUCUGAUCCAGUCAUAGCGAGUGUGUUGAGAAGGCCUUCGGUGUGGAAAGCCCGUUUUUUGGUUAAGAAAAGCAGCAGCUUAAUACCCCGCUUGUCUGACGGUACUCAAAGAAUAAGCACCGGCUAACUUCGUG
rnacentral:rRNA from 1 species